AAGGCCCUAGUAUAACAAUUACAUGACCCCGUCAGCAUCAACAUAUAGGAGGUAACCUAUGAGCCUUA
rnacentral:tRNA from 1 species